rnacentral:rRNA from 1 species
UUGCAAACUGAAGAUGGCGACCGGCGCACGGGUGAGUAACACGUAUCCAACCUGCCGAUAACUCCGGAAUAGCCUUUCGAAAGAAAGAUUAAUACCGGAUAGUAUACGAAUAUCGCAUGAUAUUUUUAUUAAAGAAUUUCGGUUAUCGAUGGGGAUGCGUUCCAUUAGUUUGUUGGCGGGGUAACGGCCCACCAAGACUACGAUGGAUAGGGGUUCUGAGAGGAAGGUCCCCCACAUUGGAACUGAGACACGGUCCAAACUCCUACGGGAGGCAGCAGUGAGGAAUAUUGGUCAAUGGGCGCGAGCCUGAACCAGCCAAGUAGCGUGAAGGAUGAAGGCUCUAUGGGUCGUAAACUUCUUUUAUAUGGGAAUAAAGUUUUCCACGUGUGGAAUUUUGUAUGUACCAUAUGAAUAAGGAUCGGCUAACUCCGUGCCAGCAGCCGCGGUAAUACGGAGGAUCCGAGCGUUAUCCGGAUUUAUUGGGUUUAAAGGGAGCGUAGGUGGAUUGUUAAGUCAGUUGUGAAAGUUUGCGGCUCAACCGUAAAAUUGCAGUUGAAACUGGCAGUCUUGAGUACAGUAGAGGUGGGCGGAAUUCGUGGUGUAGCGGUGAAAUGCUUAGAUAUCACGAAGAACUCCGAUUGCGAAGGCAGCUCACUAGACUGUUACUAACACUGAUGCUCGAAAGUGUGGGUAUCAAACAGGAUUAGAUACCCUGGUAGUCCACACAGUAAACGAUGAAUACUCGCUGUUUGCGAUAUACAGUAAGCGGCCAAGCGAAAGCAUUAAGUAUUCCACCUGGGGAGUACGCCGGCAACGGUGAAACUCAAAGGAAUUGACGGGGGCCCGCACAAGCGGAGGAACAUGUGGUUUAAUUCGAUGAUACGCGAGGAAC